rnacentral:rRNA from 1 species
AACGAACGCUGGCGGCGUGCCUAACACAUGCAAGUCGAGCGCGAAUGGAGCAAUCCUAGUAGCGCGGCGCACGGGUGCGUAACACGUGGGUAAUCUGCCUGGGAGACCGGAAUAACCUGCCGAAAGGCUGGCUAAUACCGGAUAAGCCCACGGACUCUUCGGAGUCUGAGGGAAAAGGUGGCCUCUGUAUACAAGCUAUCACUUCCAGAUGAGCCCGCGGCCCAUCAGCUCGUUGGCGGGGUAAUGGCCCACCAAGGCAACGACGGGUAGCUGGUCUGAGAGGACGAUCAGCCACACUGGAACUGAGACACGGUCCAGACUCCUACGGGAGGCAGCAGUGGGGAAUUUUGCGCAAUGGGCGAAAGCCUGACGCAGCGACGCCGCGUGUGGGAUGACGGCCUGUUGU